CACGUAGGCUACGAGCGUUAUCCGGAUUCACUGGGCGUAAAGUGCGUGGAGGCGGCUCUGUAAGUUGGACGUGAAAGCCCCGGGCUUAACUCGGGGAGGCCGUUCAAUCCUGCGGGGCUUGAGGGCAGCAGAGGAAGGCGGAAUUCCCGGUGUAGUGGUGAAAUGCGUAGAUAUCGGGAGGAACACCAGUGGCGAAGGCGGCCUUCUGGGCUGUCCCUGACGCUGAAGGCGAAAGCCAGGGGAGCGAACGGG
rnacentral:rRNA from 1 species